GCAAGUUGAACGAGAAAUUCACUUCGGGGAAUGGAAAGUAGCGAAAGGGUGAGUAACGCGUGAAUUAUCUACCUCUAAGUUUGGAAUAACAGUUGGAAACGACUGCUAAUACCGGAUGUGAAUAUAAGGUCGCCUGGCCUAAUAUUUAAAGAUUUAUCGCUUAGAGAUGAGUUCGCGUGCCAUUAUGCUAGUUGGUAAGGUAAAAGCUUACCAAGGCUAUGACGGCUAGGUGGUCUGAGAGGACGAUC
rnacentral:rRNA from 1 species